rnacentral:rRNA from 1 species
GAAACCCAGGCUAAUACCGCAUACGCCCUUCGGGGGAAAGGCUUCGGCCGCUAUUAGAUGAGCCUAUGUCUGAUUAGCUUGUUGGUGGGGUAAUGGCCUACCAAGGCGACGAUCAGUAGCUGGUCUGAGAGGACGAUCAGCCACACUGGGACUGAGACACGGCCCAGACUCCUACGGGAGGCAGCAGUGGGGAAUAUUGGACAAUGGGCGAAAGCCUGAUCCAGCAAUGCCGCGUGUGUGAAGAAGGCCUGCGGGUUGUAAAGCACUUUCAGAUGGGAAGAUAAUGACGGUACCAUCAGAAGAAGCACCGGCUAACUCUGUGCCAGCAGCCGCGGUAAUACAGAGGGUGCAAGCGUUAAUCGGAAUUACUGGGCGUAAAGCGCGCGUAGGCGGUUUGUUAAGUCGGAUGUGAAAGCCCCGGGCUCAACCUGGGAACUGCAUUCGAUACUGGCAGGCUAGAGUAUGGUAGAGGGAAGUGGAAUUCCGGGUGUAGCGGUGAAAUGCGUAGAUAUCCGGAGGAACAUCAGUGGCGAAGGCGGCUUCCUGGACCAAUACUGACGCUGAGGUGCGAAAGCGUGGGGAG